GCCGCGGAACUGGGGAUUAAUGGGAAAAGUUUUGGCAGGAGCUGGAGAAUCCUGCGGAGCCUGCGGGACGGCAGCGGUGGCGCGAGAGGAGGUCAGGACAGAUGGCGUUCCCCACAAAGGGAUGGUUGGCUGAAUCUAAUUCUUCCAGUUUGGAAAGCACCUGCUUGACUGGCUAGACUGGUGUUGGCUUCAGAGAACACUCCCUGCUCUCAAGCACAGCAGAGUCUCAUGUUGGUUAUGGGGCUGAACUAAAUGUUGGAAGGCUUUGGAGCCCCCCCGCAGAAUCUCAUUCCAGGCUGACAGGAACUGCCCUGUAGAGGUCCGUCUGCGUUCAGACACAGAUGAUGCCAGAGCUAUGAGCGGGCCUGUAGGUGUGGUGCCGAGGGGAAAUCAGCCAUGGAGCAGCCACCGGAGGAAGCCCCUGAGAUCUGGGAAGAGGAGGAGAAAGAGGAAGUGGCAGAGGCAGAAAGAGCCCCAGAGCUCAAUGGGGGACCAGAGCAUUCACUUCCUUCCAGCAGCUAUACAGACCUCUCCCGGAGCUCUUCGCCACCCUCACUGCUGGACCAGCUGCAGAUGGGCUGUGACGGGACCUCGUGUGGCAGCCUCAGCAUGGAGUGCCGUGUGUGUGGGGACAAGGCGUCAGGCUUCCACUACGGCGUUCACGCGUGUGAGGGAUGCAAGGGCUUCUUCCGCCGGACGAUCCGCAUGAAGCUGGAGUAUGAGAAGUGUGAGCGGAGCUGCAAGAUCCAGAAGAAGAAUCGCAACAAGUGCCAGUACUGCCGCUUCCAGAAAUGCCUGGCGCUGGGCAUGUCACAUAAUGCCAUCCGCUUUGGCAGGAUGCCAGAGGCUGAGAAGAGGAAGCUGGUGGCAGGGCUGACAGCAAGCGAGGAAAAUCAGCAUAACCCACAGGUGGCUGACCUGAAGGCCUUCUCCAAGCACAUCUACAAUGCCUACCUGAAAAACUUCAACAUGACCAAAAAGAAGGCCCGCGGCAUCCUCACCGGCAAGGCCAGCCAUACGGCGGGGCGCCACCUUCCCAGAGGCUCCCAGGGAGCGCAGCCCUCAGCAGCCAGUGGGCUUGGCUGCAGUGCGAGGCAAGCUCAGAGUAUGUUCUGGUGCUUUUCUAGCCAGCUCAACAUGCAGGAUUCCCGCAGCUCUGGGUCAGAAGAGGGAUCCCCUCUGGCCUCUUCAGUUAUAACUCCCCUCAGACACGGUAAGUUAUCUCAGGCCCCAGGACUCCUAGCCUUUCGGGUCCUUGGGCCUGGGUCCCAGGUCCUUGCAGCCGCCCUCCAAGCCACUCCUCCUCCCUGGACCCUCAGAGUCUUAAACUCUCCCCCAGUUUCCUCCAGUAAUCGCCUAGGGAUCCCUGAAGCCCUUCCUGCCCCACCCGACUCACAUCCCUGUUGCUUGGACUGCCCAGGGGAGCCCCCAGCCUCCCAGCUGUUCGCAGCAGGCCUGGCCUGUGGGAAGGGGAGGGUCUGGCUGCGUGGCCCCUCCUCCCUUGGCCCUACCCAGAAAGGGAGGGAUAAAGGUCCCACUGGAGCCUUGCUGGUCUCCCACUUGGGGCUGCAGCUGGGAUGGAUUCCGCGGGGCCGGACGGCAGUGGCCGUGGUGGGGAGAGCAGCCCCCACUCCCAACGGCGGUGCAGGUAGGGGCCUGGGUCUCAGGGGAGCACAAGGAAGGUGGGGGGAAAUUAUUUGGGUUUUGACCUGGCCACUGGAAGCCCAGUGGGUUGGGUUGCAUGGGGGAGGAGGGGCUUCCUUGCCCCGUCCCCAACAUUAGAAGGGUCUAGAGAUCAUCCUCCACCUCCUCAUAGUCCAGAGGAGGAGACUAGGACUAAAGAGGGCAAAAGCCAUAGAGAGCUGGACAGCCGAGUCAAGGCCGGCCCAGGGUCUACUUCACGGCAGGGAUUCUUGCCUUCUAUCUCUUCCACCCGACAAAGGUUUCUCUGCCCAGAAACACCAAACAGCUCCCUGCGAGGGAUCUGGUCUCCUGGUCAGCUUUAUAGCCCCAGAACUUAGCACAAUGCCAGGUGUUGAUACAUGUUUGAAUGGAAACAUUACACCAUCAGAGAGACACAGUCUUUGGAGCAGGCUAGCUCACUAGGCUUCCAUCAGACACUAAUACCCAAGCACAGAUUCUUUUUGCCAACAGCUGGAAGAGAUCAGUUGCUUAGGGAGAACUGAAGUCUGGGUGGAGGAGGGAUUAUUGUAGAUUUUAGGGUCUCAGUGUGAAGGAGCUUCCCUAGGCUGGAAAGAAAGGCAGCCAGGUAGCAAGAGGGAGGCCAAACAAGAAGAUGGACUUUACUAAAGGGGACUUUCAGUUGUUCCUUCCUGAGCUCGGUGCAGGGCCAGGAAGGUGGCAGCCUAGACUAUGUUUGGGUCCUCAAGUUUUAAACCCCUGGCCAGGGGCUCCUUUGGCAGGCUCUACAUCCCACCUUACUGAGCCCAAGCCUACCCUCCUCAGUUCCUGCCCUUCUCAGCCUCACACCCCACCCAACAGUCUGGUCUGAGUCCCCAGGCUCACUGCUGAGGGAUCUGCUGCUCUGUCCCCAUGGGCCACCAAGCCCCUCUUAAUGCCUCCCCAAGCCUGGAUUACCUGUGACCUGCUCUGUCCCGCCUGCUUGGCCUCAGAACUUGGCCUAAUUCCCCAAAUCCAGCACCUCACCCCUGACAAGUCAAUCUUGAUUAACCAGAGAAUUAUUGGCCUGAGUGAGGACACCUGGGUUAUAGCCCCAGCUCUUGUUUCGAGCCCUGGUCCAGGUACGUUACCUCUCUGAGCCUCAGAUUUUGAAGCAGAAAAUGACUCUUUUGACUUUUAAGACUUGUUUUGAAGAGUAAAAGAACUAAUUUGACAUUCCUCCAAACAAAGUAUGUCACAGAUAUGUUAAAGGGGUGUGGGUGGAGGACCUGAACAAAUGACAGAAACAAGGUUAAAUUAAGCCAGGGUGGGUUGAAUGGGUUUCCUCUGUGGGACCUGGCAGAACAUUCAGUGUGUUCAUGUACAAUAAGCAGUAUGCUGCAUGACUCGAAGAAAAUGUGAAAGGAAGAGGUUCUCAAAUGGAUUUGAUCACAAAGACCCUAGCCCCUUUCCUUGUGGCUCAUCUAAUGGGCUGAGAUCCCAUCUGGAAGUGCUCAGAGAGCUCUGUCACUGCACCUCUCAGCUCGGGAAGGAGAUCAUUUGAUGGCCUGAUUUUUUUGGCAGUCCUGGAGGUUGGUCUCGUUGGUGGUCUUUGAAGAAAGGCAUAGUUUUCCCAGCAUAUCUCCCACCCAGAGGCUUCCCAUUGGUGGACUGGGGACAGGAGACCUGCAAGUCCUUCCUCUGGGGGUUACCGGCUCCUCUUCUCAUGGUUGCCCACCCCGUCUGCAGUGACUCUCAUUCCCACUUCACCCCUUCAUCUCUCACCCCAUUCUCCCCAACCCUCACUAACUUUGGCUGUCACCCACUGAUCUGGUCUCUACCCAACCUGGCCUCUCCCUAUCUAUCCCCCCAUAUUAUAAUUGGGAGCAGAAACGUACCAGGCUAGGCAGCCUCUAUAAACCUCCUAGAAGAAACUUGAAAAACCACAUAUCCCUUCCACACUCCAAAUUAUUGAAUGAUUUUCAUCAUCAUGUAAAUUAUUGCAAAGGUUAUAAUUUCUAAUGUAUUAUAAAUAGUCCCAUUUUAAAAUAAAAUGAUGACAUGACUUUUUUUAAUUCUAAAAGAGAUUUUUUAAAUCUUUUAAAAAUCACUAAAUGAAAUGCUUUUCACCAUUUCUGACCUUCCUUCUCCAAGGCUGGCACUUUGGGCAAGAUUUGAAGGGAUGUGUUUCAAAGCCUUCAGCCCACGAGAACUUGCCCUCAAUCUUCCUGCAGGAGCUUCUCAAUUUUUCCCAGUAGGGAAGGAAGAUGAUUACAAGGCACCAUGGGGUACUAGGGUGGGGCAGGCUAGGGCUCUGUGUAGACUCUCUAGGCUGAUUGUUUUGGGUCCUGCCAAGGAACUUGCUCUGUGGGCAGCCAACCAGAAAUGGCAGGUGAGCAGAGUGGAUUUAAAUAAAUACAUUAUUCUUUUUAUGUAUCCAGUGGCAUUUAAAUAUCAGAGAGAUUUAACAUACAAUGUCAUCCACUUAAAAUAUAUAGAUAAACAGGCUCUUACCGUUUUAUAUAAUUCCUAUUUAUCCUUGAAUGUCUAUUUUAUUCCACUUCCCCCAUAGAAUUUUAUCCUAAUAUAUAAAUAUUUUUAUUCUUAGAAGUCUUUUACUGAUCACAAUGUUAUGUUCUUUCAACAAAAAUAUUUGUGAAAUGGAAGUUUCUAGACUUAGUUAUUAGUAGACUCAGUUGAUCAAAACAACUUAAAUGUAUUACAUAUUUUAACAGUUAAUAACAAAAAGAUUUCUUUUGAAAAUUUUCUCCUGAGAUAGAUGGGACAGCUGUUCUCCCCUUCCCCCCUAAAAAGCUCAUGCAUCCACGGAUAAAAUUACUAAUUGCUAGAACAAGAUAGGGUUCAACAUCAAUUUCCACUUUUAAUUUUUAUAAACAGAAGCACUAAGAUAUCUUGUUUACAUAAAUAAGUGGAUGGAAAUGAAAAGUGAUUUGUUAUAGCAUUCAAUUAUUUAAGUUUCCUCUGAAUUCAGUGCCAAAAAUCAUAUAGUAGUCUAUUAUCAAAAAUUAUAAUUUCAUUAUCUUACAUUACAGCCCUGUCCCUUACAACAGCUUCCUUAAAAUUAAUAACAAUAAUUAUUAUAAGUAUAUUAUUAUGUAACAGUAAUAGUCACUAUGGUGAUGAUUACUACUAGCACCUCCUCAAAGGCCUUUCCUGACCAUCCUGCCUAAAGUGAUCCUUUUCAUGGUCUGCAUUUGUCCUGAUUAUUUGUGCCCUUGUUGCAGGGCCUGGACUGGGAGAGGCGAGUAAGGUCAAUUGUGCAGGGUUGAAUCCUGUCUUUAUUUAAAAGUUAGAUAUUUUGUUCAUUGGGAAUACUUUUUGCAAUGGUUUUGAUCUUUUUAAAAAUUUUUGCUCUAAUGUAUUCUUUUUAUUACUGAGUUUUCUUGGCGUCCCCUGAAAUUUUGUGUCCAAGGUGAGUGCCUUACUUACCUCCCCCUAGUCUUGGCUCUGGAUUCUUGGUUCUCUACUUCCAUUACCUCAGCCUGAGCUCUGUAGGCAGGUUCCACAUCCCGGGGCUCCACACGUUACUGGACCAUGAAGGACCAUGUGAUUGACAAUCUGGCACCUUCACCAAGCAAGACCAGGUGCCUGUCACCUGUUUUUCCCUCCCUCCUCCUGUUUCUCUCCCCAGGCCUCGCUCUCAGGUCUUCUGCGCUAUGGCAGACCCCUGGCUUGGGCUGGUCGUCUGUGUUCUCUUAGAUUAAAAUCCAGCCUUUGUCCCCACUGCCCUGGCCACUUCAGAUGUGGGCUUGUUCCCCCUCUUGGCAACAAAGCACAUGAUGAGCAGAGGCCCUCUAUACCUCAUACCUGUCCCAGAACCUGGACACAUAAUAGAAUCUCAAUAAACAUCUGCCCAACUCAGCCUCCUCACACACUUUUCCACCUCACACCCUGACCCUCGACAGCCCCAGUAGUGGUGAUGUGAUGAUGAUAACAGCAGAGUGAUAGAGUCUAGUACAGGUGGAAGGUUUGCUGUGUGCCAGGUGCUUUGACAUCACCCUUUAAAAUAGGUACUAAUAUUAUCCGUAUUUUAUAAAUGAAGAAAUUAAGGCAUGAAAAGAUUGUCCAAGUUCAUACAACCAGAAAGUAGUGGUACCAGGAAGAACUGGUUAUAUAAUUAGUAGGACCCAGUGCAAAAUGAAAAUUAGGGCCCUUUGUUAAAAAAUUUAAUAAUUUCAAGAUGCCAACAGCAGGACAUUCAUUAAAGCAAGUGUGGGGCCCCCGUGUGACUACAGGAAGCUGGCCAUGGUAUCAGAAUGUGAAUUCUGGCUCCAGAACACUCUUAAGACUCUGUGCUUGGAGGAAGUUAAUAGAGAUCACUGAUUUUCUGAGUGCCUGCUAUGUGUUGUACAAAUCUUUACCCUUGCAGCAACCCUGAGGUAACAAUGCAUUGUAACCCUCAUUUCUGAGGGUGAGGAAGCCAAGCUGUAGGGAAGUUGUUACCCACCCAGGGUUACCCAGCAGAGUCAGGAUUUGAACAUAGGACUAGCUUCGGAGCCUGUGUUCUUCCAUCAUACAGCCUUGUUUUGAUAAGGAUCCCAAAGGCAGAAGCUAAAACAGAGCUGGGAGUGACUGUCAGAUGAUCUUUUAGGAAAUUUGCCCAAAGAGCCUGUCGCUGGGGGUUGAGCUGCCAAUUUGUUCAAGACCAGAAGGCGUCCCAGGUCUGCAGAUACUUCCGGCGAGGUUUCUGUUUCCAAGGAAAUCAAUGCAGCUAUCAGCACCCGCAGCCCCCAGGCCUCCUGGAGUGGGGCUGCCGCCAUUCGGAGCCACAUCUCACCCUGCCAGGACCCCAGCUGGGGCUGACCCGCAGGGGCUCUGAGCCCAC